GACGAACGCUGGCGGCGUGCUUAACACAUGCAAGUCGAACGGAAAGGCUCCAGCUUGCUGGAGUACUCGAGUGGCGAACGGGUGAGUAACACGUGGGUAAUCUGCCCUGCACUCUGGGAUAAGCCUGGGAAACUGGGUCUAAUACUGGAUAUGACCUUUCUCCUUAUGGGGUUUGGUGGAAAGUUUUUCGGUGUAGGAUGAGCCCGCGGCCUAUCAGCUUGUUGGUGGGGUGAUGGCCUACCAAGGCGACGACGGGUAGCCGGCCUGAGAGGGUGAUCGGCCACAUUGGGAAUGAGAUACGGCCCAGACUCCUACGGGAGGCAGCAGUGGGGAAUAUUGCACAAUGGGCGGAAGCCUGAUGCAGCGACGCCGCGUGAGGGAUGACGGCCUUCGGGUUGUAAACCUCUUUCGGCAGGGACGAAGCGUAAGUGACGGUACCUGCAGAAGAAGCACCGGCUAACUAUG
rnacentral:rRNA from 1 species